rnacentral:lncRNA from 1 species
GUCAAGACUGGGCCAAGAAAUAUCUCAAGACUGAUUUUUCUAAGGUUUUAUGGACUGAUGAAAUGAGAGUGAGUCUUGAUGGGCCAGAUGGAUGGGCCCAUGGCUGGAUUGGUAAAGGGCAUAGAGCUCCAGUCCGACUCAGACGCCAGCAAGGUGGAGGUGGAGUACUGGUUUGGGCUGGUAUCAUCAAAGAUGAGCUUGUGGGGCCUUUUCGGGUUGAGGAUGGAGUCAAGCUCAACUCCCAGUCCUACUGCCAGUUCUUGGAAGACACCUUCUUCAAG